UACGUAGGGUGCAAGCGUUGUCCGGAAUUAUUGGGCGUAAAGAGCUCGUAGGCGGUGUGUCGCGUCGGCCGUGAAAACCUGCAGCUUAACUGUGGGCGUGCGGUCGAUACGGGCAUCACUGGAGUUCGGCAGGGGAGACUGGAAUUCCUGGUGUAGCGGUGAAAUGCGCAGAUAUCAGGAAGAACACCCGUGGCGAAGGCGGCUCUCUGGGACGGUACUGACGCUGAGACGCGAAAGCGUGGGGAGCGAACAGG
rnacentral:rRNA from 1 species